rnacentral:lncRNA from 1 species
AUUAACUAGAGACUGUUUGGGCUUGUUUUAAAAGUAAUAUACUAGAAUAUCUGUGCUCAGCAAGUGUUGUUCAGAGGUCCAGCUCCAGUGAAUUUGCUCUUUAAAGAGGGAUACAGCACUGAUUUCAGUAGAAAGGGGAAUGGCCCAAAUGGACUAAAACAUUGGAAAAAGUGGAUUACAGAAUCAGUUCUUGAUUUCAUUUACCACAGAAUGCCUGCAGCACAUGUGGACACUAGUGGAAUUGACCCGGCAAAGCAGAACCCAGUUUUUUCUUUAACUCUAACAUGGGUGCUGCAUCUGCACAGAGAAUGGGAAUUGUGUACCAUGUAACCAGACAGCUAUACACCUUCAGCUGCAGACCACUGAGUGGAGUCUAUGGACCACCAGCUUGGAGAGCCUCUGCUUUAAACCUCUAAAUGAUUCAACAUUUGUGUAAGUCAGACACGU